AUUGAACGCUGGCGGCAUGCCUUACACAUGCAAGUCGAACGGUAACAGGUCUUCGGAUGCUGACGAGUGGCGAACGGGUGAGUAAUACAUCGGAACGUGCCCGAUCGUGGGGGAUAACGAAGCGAAAGCUUUGCUAAUACCGCAUAAGAUCUACGGAUGAAAGCAGGGGACCGCAAGGCCUUGCGCGAACGGAGCGGCCGAUGGCAGAUUAGGUAGUUGGUGGGAUAAAAGCUUACCAAGCCGACGAUCUGUAGCUGGUCUGAGAGGACGACCAGCCACACUGGGACUGAGACACGGCCCAGACUCCUACGGGAGGCAGCAGUGGGGAAUUUUGGGCAAUGGGCGAAAGCCUGAUCCAGCCAUGCCGCGUGCAGGAUGAAGGCCUUCGGGUUGUAAACUGCUUUUGUACGGAACGAAAAGACUCUGGUUAAUACCUGGGGUCCAUGACGGUACCGUAAGAAUAAGCACCGGCUAACUACGUG
rnacentral:rRNA from 1 species